rnacentral:rRNA from 1 species
GAUGAACGCUGGCGGCGUGCCUAAUACAUGCAAGUCGAGCGAACGGCCGAGAAGCUUGCUUCUCUGAUGUUAGCGGCGGACGGGUGAGUAACACGUGGAUAACCUACCUAUAAGACUGGGAUAACUUCGGGAAACCGUAGCUAAUACCGGAUAAUAUUUUGAACCGCAUGGUUCAAAAGUGAAAGACGGUCUUGCUGUCACUUAUAGAUGGAUCCGCGCUGCAUUAGCUAGUUGGUAAGGUAACGGCUUACCAAGGCAACGAUGCAUAGCCGACCUGAGAGAAUGAGCGCCCACACUAGAACUGAGACACGGUCCAGACUCCUACGGGAGGCACCAGUAGGGAAUCUUCCGCAAUGGGCGAAAGCCUGACGGAGCAACGCCGCGUGAGUGAUGAAGGUCUUCGGAUCGUAAAACUCUGUUAUUAGGGAAGAACAUAUGUGUAAGUAACUGUGCACAUCUUGACGGUACCUAAUCAGAAAGCCACGGCUAACUACGUG